rnacentral:rRNA from 1 species
GAAAGUAAGAAAGGGCGUAUGGCGGAUGCCUAGGCUCACGGAGGCGAUGAAGGACGUGAUAAGCUGCGAUAAGCUUCGGGUAGGUGCAAAUAACCCUUGAUCCGAAGAUUUCCGAAUGGGACAACCUAGCCGUCUGAAGGACGGUUACUCUUACCAAUGUAAGAGAGCUAACGCAGGGAACUGAAACAUCUUAGUACCUGCAGGAAGAGAAAAUAAAUGAAUGAUUCCCCCAGUAGUGGCGAGCGAACGGGGAACAGCCCAAACCAGUGGCGUCGCAAGGCGUGGCUGGGGUUGUAGGACCGCGACAUUGUAUGCAAAUCGUGAACAGAACACUUUGGAAAAUGUGACCAUAGACGGUGAUAGUCCAGUAUGUGAAGCGAAAUGCAGCAUAGCGGUAUCCUGAGUAACGCGGGACACGAGGAAUCCUGCGCGAAUCUGCCGGGACCAUCCGGUAAGGCUAAAUACUCCCGUGAGACCGAUAGCGAACGAGUACUGUGAAGGAAAGGUGAAAAGAACCCCGAGCAGGGGAGUGAAAUAGUUCCUGAAACCAUACGCCUACAAGCGGUCGGAGCAUCUUACGAUGUGACGGCGUGCCUUUUGCAUAAUGAUCCUACGAGUUACCGUCACUGGCGAGGUUGAGUGUCAUGAGACACGUAGCCGCAGUGAAAGCGAGCCUGAAGAGGGCGCACAGUCAGUGGGGGUAGACGCGAAACCAAGUGAUCUACACUUGGCCAGGAUGAAGUCCCGGUAACACGGGAUGGAGGUCCGCACCAAUAAGCGUUGAAAAGCUUCUGGAUGAGCCGAGUGUAGGAGUGAAAGGCCAAUCAAACUUGGAGAUAGCUCGUACUCCCCGAAAGGCAUUUAGGUGCCGCGUCGGAUGGUCACCGUGAGAGGUAGAGCGACCGAUAGGACAAGAGGGCUUCACCGCCUAUCGAGUCCUGACGAACUCCGAAUGCUCACGGUCUGCAGUCCGGCAGUAAGGGGGCGGGUGCUAAGGUCCGUCCCCGAGAGGAGAAGAAUCCAGACCGCCGUCUAAGGUCCCGGAAUUCUGUCUAAGUUAGUCUAACGAAGUGGGGUCUCAGUGACAGCCAGGAUGUUGGCUUGGAAGCAGCCAUUCAUUCAAAGAGUGCGUAACAGCUCACUGGUCGAGAGUCCCUGCAUGGAUAAUAAUCGGGUAUAAGACAGAUACCGAAGGCGCGGGAUAGCAAUAAUAAAAGUAUCGGUAGGGGAGCAUUCCAUAUCCGUCGAAUGGUGCGGGUAACUGAUCCUGGAGGAUAUGGAAAAGCAAAUGUAGGUAUAAGUAACGAUAAGGAGGGUAAGAUUCCCUCCCGCCGCAAGACUAAGGUUUCCCGGGCAAUGUCAAUCAUCCCGGGGUCAGUCGGGUCCUAAGUCUCAGCCGAACGGCGAGGGCGAUGGCAGACACGGUCAACAUUCCGUGACUACCGUGGGCAGCGAUGCGGAGACGGAGCAGUGAAACUUCCGCGAACCGACGGAAUGGUUCGUUAAAGAGUGUAGGCGUUGAUGAUUGUAGGCAAAUCCGCAGUCAGAGCCGAACUUGAAAGUACAGGGUCCUCUUCGGAGGAACUUGAUAGCGAGGGUAAGCAUACUCCCGAGAAAAUCCGCUAAGCAAUCCUAAAGGUACCCGUACCGUAAACGGACACACGUAGUCGGGUAGAACAUACUAAGGCGUUGAGAGAUUCAUGGUUAAGGAACUAGGCAAACUGACCCCGUAACUUCGGGAUAAGGGGUCCUCGUGAUGAGCGAGGCGCAGAGAAUAGGUCCAGGCAACUGUUUAACAAAAACACAGGGCUGUGCAAACUCGAAAGAUGACGUAUACAGCCUGACACCUGCCCGGUGCCGGAAGGUUAAGAGGAGAUGUCACUCGCAAGAGGAAGCAUUGAAUUGAAGCCCCGGUAAACGGCGGCCGUAACUAUAACGGUCCUAAGGUAGCGAAAUUCCUUGUCGGGUAAGUUC